GAUGAACGCUGGCGGCGUGCCUAAUACAUGCAAGUCGAGCGAACAGACGAGGAGCUUGCUCCUCUGACGUUAGCGGCGGACGGGUGAGUAACACGUGGAUAACCUACCUAUAAGACUGGGAUAACUUCGGGAAACCGGAGCUAAUACGGGAAAAAAUAUUGAACCGCAGGGUUAAAUGGGGAAAGAGGGUUUUGCGGUCACUAAUAGAUGGAUCCGCGCCGCAUUAGCUAGUUGGUAAGGUAACGGCUUACAAAGGCAACGAUGCGUAGCCGACCUGAGAGGGUGAUCGGCCACACUGGAACUGAGACACGGUCCAGACUCCUACGGGAGGCAGCAGUAGGGAAUCUUCCGCAAUGGGCGAAAGCCUGACGGAGCAACGCCGCGUGAGUGAUGAAGGUCUUCGGAUCGUAAAACUCUGUUAUUAGGGAAGAACAAAUGUGUAAGUAACUAUGCACGUCUUGACGGUACCUAAUCAGAAAGCCACGGCUAACUACGUG
rnacentral:rRNA from 1 species